AGUCCUCUUGGUGCUUAGCCUGGUCAGUCU
rnacentral:piRNA from 1 species